rnacentral:misc_RNA from 1 species
UCCUUCUCUGUAUGCAAUAGAAGCCAAACCAAGUUGUUGUUACUUUGCAAGAACUUGCUUGAGCUGUUGUUUUUAAGGACUGGUUAUUGGAAAUCCUUGCUAGAUAAGCCAUAUCACCACCGCGGACAUGAAUAUCUGUAUAAUCACGGGUUUUUGUAUAAUAUUGCAAAUCAGCUCUAUGACAAAAAGCAAUCUUUUCUGAUAUAUUCAAUUCCUCAACCAGAUAGGUCUUCCCCUGGUGCAUAUAGACUGCCCCCUCAUAUACCUGAAAGAAAGCCUUGCUUUCCUCUAUCUCUUCAAGGACUUUGUUCUGUUUUUUGU